UUUGCGGGGCUUUUUGCC
rnacentral:misc_RNA from 1 species